GCCCUAAUGUUAUUGAAUGGGUAUUUUGGACUGAAUAUGAAAAUCAUUUAAAAAAACUAUGUUCCUGGGCUUGAAUAUAAAUAUACACGGAAGCCUCAACUCUUCUGCUCAUAUGUUCAUUGCUGUUCUACUGAAUAUUAGCAGAUCCAAAGAGAAAAAUUUAUGCCAUGCCAUGAAAGGCCACACAGAGAAGCACUGGGUUCAACCAGAAGGAGGAGGUAGCAGUAGAAAUUGUGGGCAGGAGCCUUUAUUUUGGUUGCCAAGGAAGGAACCUGCAAGCGAAGGUAAACAGCUCAACAUACUAAUGUGAGUAAUUUCAGCUGGCUCUGGGGUGUGGGGGCUGCCUUUACUUCUCUGGCACCUGGAUCUGAGGUGAUUAAGGAAGGCAGGUCGUGGUCUAGAAUGUCAAAGCAUGAUAAAGGAGGUGAUUGAUU
rnacentral:lncRNA from 1 species